GCUAUACACAGGAGUAGGAUCUGACCAGACAUGGACCCAGCAGACAGUUGGGACUGGCCACAUGUGGACUCAGACGGCAAUCCCUUUAUCACGUCAUCAG